UAACACGUGAGCAACCUGCCCCGAAGACGGGAAUAACACCGGGAAACCGGUGCUAAUGCCCGAUGUCCUCCGCUGAUCGCAUGGUCGGUUGAGGAAAUGAAUUUCGCUUCAGGAGGGGCUCGCGGGCUAUCAGCUUGUUGGUGAGGUAACGGCUCACCAAGGCGACGACGGCUAGCUGGUCUGAGAGGACGACCAGCCACACUGGGACUGAGACACGGCCCAG
rnacentral:rRNA from 1 species